GCCAGGUGCGGUGGUGCACACCUGUAAUCCCAGCUGCUCCCGAGGCUGAGACAGGAAGAUCAUGAGUUCAAAGCUAGCCUCAGCAAAGAGGGAGCACUAAGCAACUCAGUGAGACCCUGUCUCUU
rnacentral:sRNA from 1 species